rnacentral:rRNA from 1 species
GACGAACGCUGGCGGCGCGCCUAACACAUGCAAGUCGAACGGAGCUGAGAGAAGCUUGCUUUUCUUAGCUUAGUGGCGAAAGGGUGAGUAACGCGUGAGUAACCUGCCCUGGAGUGGGGGACAACAGUUGGAAACGACUGCUAAUACCGCAUAAGCCCACGAUCCGGCAUCGGAUUGAGGGAAAAGGAUUUAUUCGCUUCAGGAUGGACUCGCGUCCAAUUAGCUAGUUGGUGAGGUAACGGCCCACCAAGGCGACGAUUGGUAGCCGGACUGAGAGGUUGAACGGCCACAUUGGGACUGAGACACGGCCCAGACUCCUACGGGAGGCAGCAGUGGGGGAUAUUGCACAAUGGGGGAAACCCUGAUGCAGCGACGCCGCGUGGAGGAAGAAGGUUUUCGGAUUGUAAACUCCUGUCGUUAGGGACGAUAAUGACGGUACCUAACAAGAAAGCACCGGCUAACUACGUG